rnacentral:tRNA from 1 species
GGAGAGGUGUCCGAGUGGCUGAAGGAGCACGCUUGGAAAGCGUGUGUGUCGGUUUCGGCACCGCGGGUUCGAAUCCCGCCCUCUCCGCCA